rnacentral:misc_RNA from 1 species
GAUGAAGAACGCAGCGAAAUGCGAUAAGUAAUGUGAAUUGCAGAAUUCAGUGAAUCAUCGAAUCUUUGAACGCACAUUGCGCCCGCUGGUAUUCCGGCGGGCAUGCCUGUUCGAGCGUCAUUUCAACCCUCAAGCUCUCCGGAGUUUGGUGUUGGGGCGCCUGGGGCUUUUCGACCUCAGGGCCCUCAAGUCCAUCGGCGGGACCGCCAGGACACUGAGCGCAGUAGUAUUAUUUCGCUCGGUAGGAUCUUCCACGGCGGGUCGAUCUGGCCGCUAAACCCCCCAAUUCUCACCAAAGGUUGACCUCGGAUCAGGUAGGAAUACCCGCUGAACUUAAGCAUAUCAAUAAGCGGGGA